rnacentral:rRNA from 1 species
CCUACGUGUGGCUGCAGUGGGGAAUAUUGGACAAUGGGCGAAAGCCUGAUCCAGCCAUGCUGCGUGUGUGAAGAAGGCCUUCGGGUUGUAAAGCACUUUCAGUGGGGAAGAAAGCCUUGGGGCUAAUACCCUCGAGGAAGGACAUCACCCACAGAAGAAGCACCGGCUAACUCCGUGCCAGCAGCCGCGGUAAUACGGAGGGUGCGAGCGUUAAUCGGAAUUACUGGGCGUAAAGCGCGCGUAGGCGGUCUGAUAAGCCGGUUGUGAAAGCCCCGGGCUCAACCUGGGAACGGCAUCCGGAACUGUCAGGCUAGAGUGCAGGAGAGGAAGGUAGAAUUCCCGGUGUAGCGGUGAAAUGCGUAGAGAUCGGGAGGAAUACCAGUGGCGAAGGCGGCCUUCUGGACUGACACUGACGCUGAGGUGCGAAAGCGUGGGUAGCAAACAGGAUUAGAUACCCGAGUAGUC